UACAGAGGGGGCAAGCGUUGUUCGGAAUUACUGGGCGUAAAGCGCACGCAGGCGGCGCAGCAAGUUCGACGUGAAAGCUCCCGGCUUAACUGGGAGAGGUCGUUGAAGACUGCUGUGCUUGAGGCAAUGAGAGGGGUGUAGAAUUCCCGGUGUAGUGGUGGAAUGCGUAGAUAUCGGGGGGAAUACCAGUGGCGAAAGCGGCACCCUAGCAUUAGCCUGACGCUCAUGUGCGAAAGCGUGGGGAGCGAACGGG
rnacentral:rRNA from 1 species